UUUCUAUUGCUUCUUUUAUGCCACUUACAUACACUAUAUUUUACUCGUAUUCCUCCCACUGUAAUUAUUUUCUGUUGGAAUAUUAUCAUUAAUGUCAUUGUUUGUUCUGGAUGCAUUUGUCUAAUUGUUUUGUCUGCUUGUAUUCAAUAAAGUUUUUUAAAAAACUGACUUACCCGUCGAUGCUACAACUUUGGAUUUAACGCCAACAUAAAAUGACAGAAAACCUUUAAUUAAAGAAGACGAAGGAUGGAAAAUGGUAAAGCCAAAAAAGAAUACUUUGGUCCUCCUUAACAUUGGCCACAAGAUGGAUUGGACUGAAACAAAGGCUUAAAAAGAAUUCUGUUUGGAAAACCCUUUCUGCAGAUCCUGAUGCCUUCCAGCACGCCAUUACAGCGCAGCUGGUGCAUCACCAGAGGGUUCUCCAUGGCCCCAGGAGUCUUGGUCUCAUUGGGGAUGAUGCAGCGCACAAAGUGAGGGUGGGUGGACCGCAGACUAUGAAUGCUGGUGUGGACUCGCAUCCUGAGCACUGCUGAUGAUUCAAGGGGAGAUAACAGUCUGAUUUGUUGCACUUUAUGUUGACUUGUGGCCAAAACGUCUUCCUUUGAAGUCUGUUGUCAGACCUCACGAAAUGAUGUGAAGAGGAUCCUGUUUGGGAAGCCCUUUCUGCAGAUCCUGAUGCCUUCCAGCACGCCGUUACAGCGCAGCUGGUGCAUCACCAGAGGGUUCUCCAUGGCCCCAGGAGUCUUGGUCUCGUUGGGGAUGAUGCAGCGCACAAAGUGAGGAGGUCUUUGAAGGCCAGAGUCAUGUGAGAUCAAGGUCAGACUGUCUGUGGGCUUUAUCCAUCCUGCUCUUCACUCCUUCAGCAGCAGCAUGAACAUGUCCGUCUGCCGUCUGCUCGGCUGUUUCAUCAAGAAGGUUACUAUGCAAACAAAGAUGACCACAACACAGAAGAACCCACGGGUCCUAGGUGGCUGUCAGUGAGUUUCACUCAUCUAGCCCUUUCUGUGAUGAGAAAAGAUAGAGUAGAGAAUGAAAGGUGGAUUAGUGUCAGAAAACUUAACAAGUGUUACACACUAUUAUUUUUCUAGACAUUUGUCAUGGCAUUAAAUUACCAAUAAAUAUAUGAUUUUUUUUUAAUCAAACAAGCAUCUCUUUCAGCAAUCAUUUUUAAUGAAAAAGAAAGCCAUUCUAAAUUGUGAAGAAUGAAAAUCUUAAGUCUGUAGACUCUUUUUAAAUAAAAAAACAAUUACUGUUCAUGAACUAAAACACCAUUCCUCAGUCAUUCCUGACACAAAUAAUGGUAAGUAUAGCAUCACAGUGACUUAAUUAGCAUGCCCAAUUUUACUACCAAAUCAAAAAAUUAACAAGUAAUCACAAACAUGAAAACAAUAAAGUCACUAAUAGAAUUCAAAGAACUUCAUUACAACAUAAUAUUCAUAAGGUUUCUGUAUAUCUAACAACUUCAUAAUAACAAUAACAUCUACAAUAAAAGGUUUUUGCAUCCAAAGCUUUUCCUAACUUGGUUCUGCCCUGCAUGCCCCCCCACCACCCCCCCCCCUGUUUCUAGCAGAUCUUUCUUCUUCCCACAUAAUACAUAGAAAUAAACUUAAAUCUUAAUCGUUUAAGCUAAAAUUAACUAACUUUAUA